GCGUUUAAAUUAAAAACGUAUAACACCAUGGACUCUAAAAGAUUCUUAUCCCUUCCAGUAGGGAAGGUGGGCUUGCGCACGAGUUAGUGUCAGAGAAGAUAGCCCAGCCCACCACCCACGGGCUACGACUUGUUGGCUGUCGCUCUGGUGAAGUCCCAAAAGGAUCCGAUCUUAUCGCUUCCCCUGGUCGGGUUCCCUUGAAGUUUCAAUCAGAUCAAGACUCAGCCUUGCACCAUUUGGCUAACCGAGUUCAUGUAAGGUGAAUGAAGGGUGCCCUUUUCUUCUGGAUUUUGAGGAAAAUGUUAAAAGUGCUCUCAAAAAUCUGAAAACAAGUAAGCACCCUUUGGUGGCCGAGAUGUAGAUGCACCCUCUCAAACAUGGGCAAUGUCAGCAGUCUCAUCCAGAACAUUUGGUUUAUUCGGAAGAACCUACAGUGACAUCCCAGUAAUGCUUCCUCUGGUUGAUAUGUGCAACCAUAGCUUCCAUUAAUGCCAAUAAAAUAAAUUACCUUUAUUUUCAUAACUUCAAUUAGUUUUGAUUUGAUGAAAAGCUCCAAUAGGCUAUAGUUUUCUCCUACAUCUCUCAUAUCAGAUUGUAGCUGAAUGCAAGAUCAAACAAAAUGAUCUUUUAUAGCUGUCAAGCGAUUUAAUCUUUCCUGCUGGGUAAUGGAUUUGUUAUACCAUCAAAUCCAUAUGACUAUAUUUAGCUCAAGCAUGAGGGCUGUCAUGGAUGCUAGAUUAUGUCUGCUGGUGUUUCUUCUCCUAAUUUCUCCUCUCCAGCUCCAUGGCAGCAACAAGUUUUGGCUCAGCUUGAUUUAGAUGGAGAACCUCCAAAUCUCAAGAGAUAUGAUUUGAAUAUCCUAAAACCUUUAUCAACUGGAACUUCCCUUGGAAUUGCCAAGAGUAGCUGCUUUUUGCACUGUUAUUGCAGUGGAGCAAAGAUACUGGAUGAUGAGUCUAUUGAAACAAAGGUGUUUCCAUCAAACUGAGAUUUUGAAGCUUCUGUCAUCUAAGGAGACCACUGCUUGAGACCAAUUUCUAAUGUUAUAAGUCAUAGAACUGCAGUCUUUUAGGUUUUUUAUAUUUUUGGGCUGAUGUUUUCAUCUAUGUUCUUAUGACCUGUAUAUAUCUUAUAUAGGUUGUACAAUUUCCUCCACGUAUGCAAAAUUUUCACUGCGUUUUUACCUGCUGCUGAUAUUUGGUGCCAACCACUCAUUAUAUCA